UUGGAGGGCAAGUCUGGUGCCAGCAGCCGCGGUAAUUCCAGCUCCAAUAGCGUAUAUUAAAGUUGUUGCAGUUAAAAAGCUCGUAGUUGAACCUUGGCUCUGGCUGGCCGGUCCGCCUCACCGCGAGUACUGGUCCGGCUGGAGCUUUCCUUCUGGGGAACCUCAUGGCCUUCACUGGCUGUGGGGGGAACCAGGACUUUUACUGUGAAAAAAUUAGAGUGUUCAAAGCAGGCCUUUGCUCGAAUACAUUAGCAUGGAAUAAUAGAAUAGGACGUGCGGUUCUACUUUGUUGGUUUCUAGGACCGCCGUAAUGAUUAAUAGGGAUAGUCGGGGGCGUCAGUAUUCAGCUGUCAGAGGUGAAAUUCUUGGAUUUGCUGAAGACUAACUACUGCGAAAGCAUUCGCCAAGGAUGUUUUCAUUAAUCAGGGAACGAAAGUUAGGGGAUCGAAGACGAUCAGAUACCGUCGUAGUCUUAACCAUAAACUAUGCCGACUAGGGAUCGGACGGGAUUCUAUUAUGACCCGUUCGGCCCCUUACGGGAAAC
rnacentral:rRNA from 1 species